GAUGAACGCUGGCGGCGUGCCUAAUACAUGCAAGUCGAGCGAACGGACGAGAAGCUUGCUUCUCUGAUGUUAGCGGCGGACGGGUGAGUAACACGUGGAUAACCUACCUAUAAGACUGGGAUAACUUCGGGAAACCGGAGCUAAUACCGGAUAAUAUUUUGAACCGCAUGGUUCAAAAGUGAAAGACGGUCUUGCUGUCACUUAUAGAUGGAUCCGCGCUGCAUUAGCUAGUUGGUAAGGUAACGGCUUACCAAGGCAACGAUGCAUAGCCGACCUGAGAGGGUGAUCGGCCACACUGGAACUGAGACACGGUCCAGACUCCUACGGGAGGCAGCAGUAGGGAAUCUUCCGCAAUGGGCGAAAGCCUGACGGAGCAACGCCGCGUGAGUGAUGAAGGUCUUCGGAUCGUAAAACUCUGUUAUUAGGGAAGAACAUAUGUGUAAGUAACUGUGCACAUCUUGACGGUACCUAAUCAGAAAGCCACGGCUAACUACGUGCCAGCAGCCGCGGUAAUACGUAGGUGGCAAGCGUUAUCCGGAAUUAUUGGGCGUAAAGCGCGCGUAGGCGGUUUUUUAAGUCUGAUGUGAAAGCCCACGGCUCAACCGUGGAGGGUCAUUGGAAACUGGAAAACUUGAGUGCAGAAGAGGAAAGUGGAAUUCCAUGUGUAGCGGUGAAAUGCGCAGAGAUAUGGAGGAACACCAGUGGCGAAGGCGACUUUCUGGUCUGUAACUGACGCUGAUGUGCGAAAGCGUGGGGAUCAAACAGGAUUAGAUACCCUGGUAGUCCACGCCGUAAACGAUGAGUGCUAAGUGUUAGGGGGUUUCCGCCCCUUAGUGCUGCAGCUAACGCAUUAAGCACUCCGCCUGGGGAGUACGACCGCAAGGUUGAAACUCAAAGGAAUUGACGGGGACCCGCACAAGCGGUGGAGCAUGUGGUUUAAUUCGAAGCAACGCGAAGAACCUUACCAAAUCUUGACAUCCUUUGACAACUCUAGAGAUAGAGCUUUCCCCUUCGGGGGACAAAGUGACAGGUGGUGCAUGGUUGUCGUCAGCUCGUGUCGUGAGACGUUGGGUUAAGUCCCGCAACGAGCGCAACCCUUAAGCUUAGUUGCCAUCAUUAAGUUGGGCACUCUAAGUUGACUGCCGGUGACAAACCGGAGGAAGGUGGGGAUGACGUCAAAUCAUCAUGCCCCUUAUGAUUUGGGCUACACACGUGCUACAAUGGACAAUACAAAGGGCAGCGAAACCGCGAGGUCAAGCAAAUCCCAUAAAGUUGUUCUCAGUUCGGAUUGUAGUCUGCAACUCGACUACAUGAAGCUGGAAUCGCUAGUAAUCGUAGAUCAGCAUGCUACGGUGAAUACGUUCCCGGGUCU
rnacentral:rRNA from 1 species